CAGACUGUUGCUCAGCCAGCCCAUCCAGCCCAUGAUGCCUGGGUCCUGCAAUGCAAGACACCCUUCAGACCUCAGCAUGGCGGGAUCUCAGGCUAAGUAUUCUCAAACCCAACAAAUGUUUCAAAGUUUGGAAGUGCAGACUUCCAGCAGCAGUUCUCCAAUCGUACUGAUGGGACAAGCAGUGUUAAACCAAGGGUUCGCCACUACGCCUCCUUCCCAGCCAUCCUCUCUGCCACCUAUGCAACUCCAGCACCAACAGCAUCAGCAACAACGCUACCUGCAGGUGCAAACACCAAGUUCUUUGCACAAUGAGCAACCCGAUUCUUUGCUCCUGCCGUCUUACUCACCACAGCAAGGAAAUAUGGGGUAUCAUCAGACACAGCAGCAGCAGCAGCAGCAGCAGCAGCAACAACAACUAACAUCAAGAAGAAGCAAUAGCUUAUCAGAAUCGUCAAACUUACCACAGCCACUGCGAUAAAGAGUCCCACCAGCACAAUCAAUGCACGAUUAGCUUUAACCAAGGGGCACAUGGGGCAGAAGAGAAUGACUUUGUACUCACUGUUCUGGCUUUUGCACAAGCGUUUCUUUCGAAGCUCUACGACAGAAGUACGCCGCGGAGCGCAGGCUGCUGCAGACGGCGCAUUUACGGCAUGUUGGAUUCGGCGUGCGCCGUCUCGUGAGCACAGCAUGUACUGUCAGAGCAAAAUAAAAAAAAAAAGGAACGCUAUCCUGCGCGGCCUCCGUCAGCCAGGGGUGCACGGGAGGAACCGCUCCGUCCUGGCGUGUCACUCUGAAAGCUAUCUGGCAAUUCCAACAGACUCAUGAGGUACUUGGCCUUCACUGUUCCAGUUCUUCUUUUGUGUAUGAAAAGCACUGCGUCAAAGGUCUAUUGAGGAGAGAACAAGAGAUUAUUUUUAUUAUGAUUAUUGUUAUUAUUUUGCACAACUGCACAGAGGACGAAACCUAGGCACUUUCUGUAAAGAGAAGUUCUUUUCCUUAUUCUUGUGGCCAAAUUAGCACAUCCAAUGGAGGAGAAAGCCCAGUCAUUGGUGAAGAUGGUCUACAGCUCAUAACCCUUGAUUUAGAAUCUGGAAAGUAUUAUGCAGCUUACCCUAACUGUUCUUCAUUACUAAACAACAACAACAAAAAACCCCACCCACGACCCACACUGGACUGUUUUCUAGAUGAAUUGUGAUUGCAAAGGAGAACUCAAAUUGUAAGCACAAUCACGCAACUCUCCGAUAGUACAACACGGAUCCUUCUUCAGCCUAAACUCACCCCCACUGCAAGUCUCUGAGAAAUAUGCACUGUGUUUUGGCCCACUGACUCGGGAUGCUGCAGACUAUGACAUAUCUCUUUCAUUAUAACAUUUAGGAUUGAAUUUUCCUUUGGGGGGAAAAAAAAAGAAAUGCACUUUUCGCUUUUUUUGUAUGUUUUCUGUUGAUAUGUUUCUAAGAAAGAUUUUAUGUAAUUAUUAAAUGAAAAGUAGUGUAUUGUACAGCUGUUGUAAUAAUGACCUAUUUCUAUAUAAAAUAAAAUUAUAUGGAAUUAUGUGGAAAUUAUUUUGUAUAUGAAAUAUCAACUCAUUUCACAAGUAUAAAGAUUGUGCUUGUGCUUUUUUGUGAGUGGAUAUUUUGUAAUAAACUAAUGAAUUAGAAAUGUUUUUGUGAAGGGAACUACUGUUUCAUGCUAUAUACAACUAUUAUUUUUUUUCCAUUUAAUGAUGGACAGUUGUCUUUAUUUGUAGAAUAAAAUAAAAUAGCCAAAAGGCUUUAUUGCAGGACUUGCA